UACGGGGGGGGCAAGCGUUGUUCGGAAUUACUGGGCGUAAGGGCUCGUAGGCGGCCAACUCAGUCGGACGUGAAAUCCCUCGGCUUAACCGGGGAACUGCGUCCGAUACUGGAUGGCUUGAGUGUGGGAGAGGGAUGCGGAAUUCCAGGUGUAGCGGUGAAAUGCGUAGAUAUCUGGAGGAACACCGGUGGCGAAGGCGGCAUCCUGGACUACUACUGACGCUGAGGAGCGAAAGCCAGGGGAGCAAACGG
rnacentral:rRNA from 1 species